UACGGGGGGGGCAAGCGUUGUUCGGAAUUAUUGGGCGUAAAGAGCUCGUAGGCGGUUUGUCGCGUCUGCUGUGAAAACGCGAGGCUCAACCUCGCGCCUGCAGUGGGUACGGGCAGACUAGAGUGCGGUAGGGGAGAUUGGAAUUCCUGGUGUAGCGGUGGAAUGCGCAGAUAUCAGGAGGAACACCGAUGGCGAAGGCAGAUCUCUGGGCCGUAACUGACGCUGAGGAGCGAAAUCGUGGGGAGCGAACAGG
rnacentral:rRNA from 1 species